ACAUGUUUACUUAUUGCUUCACCAUUAUCAGUCAGUUGAUAAAUGAGAAUCUGAAGGAAAUUUCCAUGUGACUUUUUCAAAUCUGCCGAACAGAAAAGUCCUGGAUGGAUUGUAGAGUUUAACGGAAGAACUAACCUUUUUAUGCAUUUUGUGUGUGUGUGUGUGUGUGCGCGCGUGUGCGUGUGUGUGUGUGCGUGUGUGUGUGUGUAUUUUUUUCUUUUUUGAGAUGGAGUCUUGCUCUGUUGCCCAGGCUGGACUGCAGUGGCGUAGUCAUGGCUCACUGCAACGUCCGCCUCCUGGGUUCAAGCGAGUUUCCAGCCUCAGCCUCCUGAGUAGCUGGGACUACAGGCGUAAGCCACCACACCCAGCUAAUUUUUGUAUUUUUACUAGAGACAGGGUAUCACUAUGUUGGCCAGGUUGGUCUUGAACUCCUGACCUCAGAUGAUCCGCCUGCCUCUGUCUCCCAAAGUGUUGGGAUUACAGGCGUGAGCCACUGCGCCUCGCCAAUAUUUUUUAUGUGGUAGAAUGAAAACAAACUUGUGCCCAUAUAUUCAGAAAUAUAAGAUUAUGACUUCUGGAGAAUGCAAGAUUUUUUUCUCCUAUUUAAAAAAAUGUUUCUUAUAUUUUUUCAUGAAUCAAUAGCACUCCACCAACCCACAGAUUUAGAUGUUUAGGAAUAAUUUCAGCUGGGUACAGUGGCUCAUGCCUAUAAUCCCAACACUUUGGGAGGCCGAGGCAGGCGGAUCACGAGGUCAGGAGUUUGAGACCAUCCUGGACAAUAUGAUGAAACCCCGUCUCUAUUAAAAAUACAAAAAUUAGCUGGGUUUGGUGGCACGCGCCUAUAGUCCCAGCUACUCGGGAGGCUGAGGCAGGAGAAUCACUUGAACCUGGGAGGCAGAGGUCGCAGUGAGCCGAGAUCGAGCCACUGCACUCCAGCCUGGGCAACAGAGCAAGACUCUGUCUCAUAAAUAAAUAAAAUAAUUAAUUAAUUAAUUCAUGGCCUGGCACCGUGGCUCACACAUGUAUUCCCAGCACUUUGGGAGGCCAAGGCGGGUGGAUCACCUGAGGUCAGGAGUUUGAGACCAUCCUGGCCAACAUGGCAAAACCCCGUCUCUACUAAAAAUACAAAAAUCAGCCAGGCGUGGUGGUGCAUGCCUGUAAUCCCAGCUAUUCAGGAGGCUGAGACAGUAGGAUUGCUUGAACCCAGGAGACAGAGGCUGCAGUGAGCCGAGAUCCUGCCACUGCACUCCAGCCUGGCAACAGAGCGAGGAAAAAAAAAGAAUAAUUUCAUUUGCCUCAAAAACAAAUGAAGUUUACCCAUGUUAUACCUAGAAACAUUCAAUGAAGUGUAAUUUAAAUUUUUUUUUAAAAUAUAAAAUAGCGUCUCCUCAGUAAUGAACAUUUGAAGAAAUCUGAAAGGUGUGAGGGGGUAAAAGAAACUGCCAUAGCCUUACCACCUAGACAUGGCCUCAUUUAAGUUCAGCUCUUUACUCACACAAUCUCAGCAUGCCUGUCCUCCGGGAGAGUGAAAAGCAUGGGUCCCUAAUAGCCGCUGUUGGCCCCUUCUGCACACUUUGCCGCCAGAGCUUAAAGGUGUAAACUUCAUGACUUCUUGAUGCUCCAGCUUAUAUAUAUUCUUGACAUUUUACACAUCUUUUUUUUUUUUUUUAACAAAUCAGAUUGAUUUCCUAAAUUCAGUAAUAGUGGACCUUCAAAGGAAGAAUCAAGACCUCAAGAUGAAGGUGGAGAUGAUGUCAGAAGCAGCCCUGAAUGGGAACGGGGAUGACCUAAACAAUUAUGACAGUGAUGAUCAGGAGAAACAGUCCAAGAAGAAACCUCGCCUCUUCUGUGACAUUUGUGACUGCUUUGAUCUCCACGACACAGAGGAUUGUCCUACCCAGGCACAGAUGUCAGAGGACCCUCCCCAUUCCACACACCAUGGCAGUCGGGGUGAGGAACGCCCAUACUGUGAAAUCUGUGAGAUGUUUGGACACUGGGCCACCAACUGCAAUGACGACGAAACCUUCUGAUGAAGCCUCCAGUGGAGAACUGGGCUUGCUCAGACGCACUCGCAUUGACACAACGUAACACCAGCAUUGUGUGUGCAGACUUCAGGAGAACUCAUGUUAUUUUUUAACCCCGUCAACAAAUCUAGGGAAAUAUUUUGAUCUUCAACAAAUUGCCCUUUAGUCUCCCCGUAUGAGUUAGAAUAAUAAAUAUUUAGUAGGUGAGUUUUCACCUCGAAUUUUGUUUUCUUGAUUUUUACGUUUGAAGACAUUGCACCAGAUGCCAUUACAUUUAUUGGCCCCCCGACCUUGUAGAAAAAUCCCUACCCUCACAAUACCUUAUUUAAGUAACUUUAAAUUAUGCCGUUACUUUUCAUAUUUGCACUAAGAUAUUUCCAGGCUGCAUUUGUAUAUUUAGAUUUUUUGGUUAAGCUUUGA
rnacentral:sRNA from 1 species